rnacentral:misc_RNA from 1 species
CCCAUUUGCAAAACAGUCUAACGCAAAAGCUACAACAAAAAGCAACCUCUUUCCUUUACUAAAAAAUCCAGUUUAACUUGGAUAAUAGAAAAGAGAUUUAAGAACCCUAAUCCGUGGAGAGAUUUAAGAACCCUAAUCCGUGGAUUUGAAAGCUUAAAGUGCAAGUCUUUUGAGCUAGACCACACUGCCUGUCUUUAAGCUUCGAUUCCAGAUGACUGACUCUUG